rnacentral:rRNA from 1 species
CGGCAUCGCCCUUCGGGGAGAGCCGCAGCAUGCAACCCUUGCCUAUGUCUACCAUUCGUUAUUCCCUCGGCGGGGUGACCUGCCGACGGGGACCAACAAACCCUUUUGCAUAAGCAUCGAAAUUCUGAAAACACGCAAAAUAAUCACAACUUUCAACAAUGGAUCUCUUGGUUCUGGCAUCGAUGAAGAACGCAGCGAAAUGCGAUAAGCAGUGUGAAUUGCAGACUUUAGUGAAUCAUCGAAUCUUUGAACGCACAUUGCGCCCCUUGGUAUUCCAUUGGGCAUGCCUGUUUGAGUGUCAUGAAACCUCACCCCACUUGGGUUUUUGCCUGAGCGGUGGUGUAUUGGGUGUUGCCUUGCUAAAGGCUCGCCUUAAAGACAUAAGCACCUUGGAUGUAAUACGUUUCAUCCUUCUGGGUGGCUGAUAACCCCACAUAUUCAUGAUCUGGCCUCAAAUCAGGUAGGGCUACCCGCUGAACUUAAGCAUAUCAAUAAGCGGAGGAA